rnacentral:misc_RNA from 1 species
UGGGAGCGUGGCUUGCCCGCGAUAAACGAUAACGCGGUCUACCUGUUGCACCGCGGUGUCCCCAUCGCGGGCAAGCCACGCUCCCA